UACGAAGGGGGCUAGCGUUGCUCGGAAUCACUGGGCGUAAAGGGUGCGUAGGCGGGUUUUUAAGUCGGAGGUGAAAUCCUGGAGCUCAACUCCAGAACUGCCUUUGAUACUGAAAGUCUUGAGUAUGGGAGAGGUGAGUGGAACUGCGAGUGUAGAGGUGAAAUUCGUAGAUAUUCGCAAGAACACCAGGGGCGAAGGCGGCUCACUGGCCCAUUACUGACGCUGAGGCACGAAAGCGUGGGGAGCAAACAGG
rnacentral:rRNA from 1 species